AUUGAACGCUGGCGGCAUGCCUUACACAUGCAAGUCGAACGGUAGAGGGGCAACCCUCGAGAGUGGCGAACGGGUGAGUAAUGCAUCGGAACGUGCCCAGUAGUGGGGGAUAGCCCGGCGAAAGCCGGAUUAAUACCGCAUACGACCUACGGGUGAAAGGGGGGGAUCGCAAGACCUCUCGCUAUUGGAGCGGCCGAUGUCAGAUUAGGUAGUUGGUGGGGUAAAGGCCUACCAAGCCGACGAUCUGUAGCUGGUCUGAGAGGACGACCAGCCCCACUGGGACUGAGACACGGCCCAGACUCCUACGGGAGGCAGCAGUGGGGAAUUUUGGACAAUGGGCGAAAGCCUGAUCCAGCCAUGCCGCGUGCGGGAAGAAGGCCUUCGGGUUGUAAACCGCUUUUGUCAGGGAAGAAAUCCUUUGGGCUAAUACCCUGGGGGGAUGACGGUACCUGAAGAAUAAGCACCGGCUAACUACGUGCCAGCCGCCGCGGUAAAAC
rnacentral:rRNA from 1 species